GGAUUGUGGCUCAGUGGCAGAGCACUUGCCUCACAUGUAUGAGGCACUGGGUUCGAUCCUCAGCACCA
rnacentral:tRNA from 1 species